ensembl:lncRNA
CUCAGGAUUAAAUCUGAUUACGAAAGGACUCGCGAUUACGUUUUCCAAAGAAAUCAUGCGUCAAGGAAAUUAACCAGGUCGCAUUUCCAACAAAACUACAAAAGCCUUUAAGGUUUGAAUUGAUAUAAUAAAAAUAAAAAGUCAUGAAUGUGUCGGCUGAUAGGCCUAUAUCCCUAGCGCUGUAUUCAUCAAUCAUAAACAACACACUAACAACAAGUGCUCUUUUUAAUACAAGCAUAAAAAAAGACAAAGACACGACAAACUCUUCAUUCCUUGGUUUAUUAUUACAAGCUCCUGACGCCAUUAGCAAUCAGUUCAAACAUUAUCGUUCGUUCAUUAAUUUUUUUUCCCCCCUCAAGGGCUGGAAAUUCAUCCAAAGCAUAUAAACAGGCUUUAAUUUCUGAGUCAGCACAUGCACUAAUACAAGCCUCUUCUCCUGAAUAUCUCUCAGUGCAAGACGGGGUGGACGUAACUCGCCAAGCUGUUGGUUUGUCGGUGCUUUUGUAAAUACGGGAGGACACCCCAUGUGGAGCUCCCAGAGGCAGAACCUGUGUUAUUGGUAACUAAGGCCAUGAUUGUUCUGUCCCUCUCACUCAUUCUCGGGACAAAGAGGGGAGUCGUUUACUCCCAAUCUACACCGGCACGCCGCCAAAGGGGCGGACAUCCAUCGCAUCUAACGGCACAGAUGCAACCGAUAGUGGUUUGGCUGAUUACUCACCGAAUGAGUCACUACAGGAGAGCUGAAAGGAAAAUCACGGGCCAGAUGCCUAUAGGGUUGCCCGGCCAGCUUUGCACCAUGACUCCCAAAGAUCUCAGAUGACCCAGCCCACAUCAGCAUUCGACAGGUCAAACAUCUCUCAGACUUUCCCCAGUCAAGCCAUCUCUACUUUCUCAUCCAAGGCAGACUGGCAGACAUCCAAGAACAUUAAGCUUCCAAGCUCAGGUGCCUCCAACCACUCAUUCAAAAUUUCUUACGGUGUGGAUUCAACAAAGGUAACUAUCCUUGAUGGGAUGUGAAUGCUAACUGAUGCUCAUAGAAUAAAAUGCUGAAAUAAGUUCUGUAGGCA